AGCUCCCCACGUACAGUGCCCAUGCCUCUACGCUCCUCUUGCUAGCCUAAACAGCCAUGAACCUUGAAGUCUCUUCCCAGGAGCAUGGAUGGAUGGCCUGCAUGCUGCUCAAUUAAAAGUCAGUUGCACGGGCAAUCUGAAUCUCUGGUGAACCCUGAGAAGAAGAGUAGCCGAAGAAGAAAGAUCCGGGGAAUUCCUUUCCUGAAUUCAGUCGACAUCAGAAUCAAUUCGGACAGGCCACCCCACGGGUAUGGCAAAAUGCAACGGAGGCACGCGUUGUCACAAAUAUGAGCUGUACGGGUCUCGAGUCUCUCUCGACCAUAUAUAGACAGAUAGACCUGCAGGUUUAUGAGCUGCACCUACUCUAUUUUGGCCACUCGGUAGCAGGCCACAUGAGUAGCAGGUGAACACAUUGAUUAAUUCGCACCAUCUACAAAUCUUAUGUCUGUGCAAUCCAUACAUUACAUCCUCGUAGUACUGAUUUUCAUCACACAAACAAACGUCACCAGAUCCCUUCAUCACAUUAAGCAAUUCAUGUGUACGCAGUUUGUAUCUGCUCAUCAUCAAUCAACUUAUUCGCUGCUCAGGAUGACAGUGCAUUUGUAAAUCUGCAUCAGCUAGAUAGCGCCGCCCUGAUCGUUCAUCACAC